GGAGCCUUUCCUUCACUGGCCCGCCUGCUAUGACGAUCAUGUACAGCUGCAUUGCUAAUGGCCGAGCGGUCCUAGCGGAGCUGACACUGACUGGAGGUUCUUACCAGCUAUGUUUGCCAUACUGUCUUUAUUGAUGGAAUCACUUAUGUAUGUGCUACAGACAAUGCUUUGGAUUCUGUGACACCAUCUGCAUUUCUUAAAAACGAUUCUGCUAGACUUUGCUUCAAAUGAAUGUUUGUUCUAUAAUUCUCCAGUUAAAAUGAUCUAUAUAGGUUAAAUAGUUCCAUUAAUUUCUCCAGAUUAGUGAUACUUUUACAAGAAAUCCUUUGAUGUCACAAGAACAUUUUUCUCCUUCAAAUGCAUUUGCUGCAGAUUUUCAACAAGUGUUAGGAAAGUAAAUGGUAUGUAACCUCAAAC
rnacentral:lncRNA from 1 species